rnacentral:rRNA from 1 species
GACGAACGCUGGCGGCGUGCCUAAUACAUGCAAGUAGAACGCUGAAGGAGGAGCUUGCUCUUCUGGAUGAGUUGCGAACGGGUGAGUAACGCGUAGGUAACCUGCCUGGUAGCGGGGGAUAACUAUUGGAAACGAUAGCUAAUACCGCAUAACAGUAGAUGUUGCAUGACAUUUACUUAAAAGGUGCAAUUGCAUCACUACCAGAUGGACCUGCGUUGUAUUAGCUAGUUGGUGGGGUAACGGCUCACCAAGGCGACGAUACAUAGCCGACCUGAGAGGGUGAUCGGCCACACUGGGACUGAGACACGGUCCAGACUCCUACGGGAGGCAGCAGUAGGGAAUCUUCGGCAAUGGACGGAAGUCUGACCGAGCAACGCCGCGUGAGUGAAGAAGGUUUUCGGAUCGUAAGGCUCUGUUGUAAGAGAAGAACGAGUGUGAGAGUGGAAAGUUCACACUGUGACGGUAUCUUACCAGAAAGGGACGGCUAACUACGUG